rnacentral:misc_RNA from 1 species
UCCGUUUUAUCAACGGCAGUCUCAGUAGAGUGCCCGGCCGAACCGCUGGCAACUACUGACAAGGGUUGCGCUCGUUGCGGGACUUAACCCAACAUCUCACGACACGAGCUGACGACAGCCAUGCAGCACCUUGCACCGUGCCUGGUUUUAGCCAGGAGACCCCAUCUCUGAGGCUGUCACGGGCAUUCUAGCCCAGGUAAGGUUCUUCGCGUUGCGUCGAAUUAAACCACAUGCUCCACCGCUUGUGCGGGUCCCCGUCAAUUCCUUUGAGUUUCGGCCUUGCGGCCGUGCUCCCCAGGCGGGGCACUUACUGCGUUAGCGACGGCACCGGGAGGGUCGCUCCCCCCGACGCCUAGUGCCCAUCGUUUACGGCGUGGACUAC